rnacentral:lncRNA from 1 species
GAAAGGGCUAACCUGCUCCAAACCCGCCCCUUGCCAUCCCGGAAUGGAAGGCACGUUAGCUUAUUGACUUGGCUUCGCCCAAGGUGGCUUCUACCUACUUUUUGUAAGUGGCCAUGAUGCUAAUGAGAUUUGUCCCGUUACGAUGGGCUGUAGUUUAUGUUUGAAGUUUUGGCCCUCGUGGCCAACGUUUAGAAGGUCUUAUGACUUAGCAAAAGGUAACCUUUGAUUUCAGCCUUGAAUGCUCAACUAUCUGAAAAAGGAAAAGGAAUGAGAGAGAAAAUACGACCCUUGCAGACAUUGCCCAGGCCUCACCUUUAGAUUCUAUCAGUGCGCAAGCUCUCAUUUAUUUUGAUUUAUUCUUCCACAUCUGUCAGGGAUCUUUAGAUUGGCGUUUAUUUUUAUUUACCCGUAUCAACCUUUGCCACACAUGGGAAUGAAAGAUUCAAAAUACUUUGUUAGAUGGAAGUAUAAAUGUCAUUGUUUGAUUUUUUUUUGAGAUGAUUAUUUCCUUGCAGUUCAAAAUGAUAUGGCAUCAGUAUGCCAUGGGAAUGAAAGAAUCAUAGGUUAUGUUCAAUUCUAAAAACAACUUGUUGCAAUGCUCAUGUUGGACGGAAAGGAGCAUGGUCUCAUAGAAAAAAUAUUAGUUGGCAUUCUCUAAGCCAGUCAGAUUUGGAAACAAUUCAGCUACAGAUAAUUGGUUCACAAUUAGCAUAAAUUAAAAAUUCCCAUAAAGUUUAGAAAAGAUUGGGACCAUCAUAAGGUAAAAACAUAAAAAUAAAUAAUAUAAGGUUCUUGGACUAUUUACUUAUUUUCUUAUAUGGACAC